rnacentral:rRNA from 1 species
AUGAUCCAUUUUCAAUAUCGGUCAAGGUACAUUUGGUAUAGUUCUUCUCUUUCUUCCACUCAUAUUUGCUCGAGUCUUGUGAUGAAUAGGCAAGGCAUUUCAUCUCCGGUCUUCCACAACAACGACGGCGCGAACAACUACAUCAUCAAAGCGUCCAUCUUUGAUCUACAACGACAAAUGCAAGGUGCACAAUCAAGAUUGCGAGAGCACAUUGACAACCUCGCCAUCAACAUGCGACACUUCGAUCUACGUACAAGAGACUACCUCGACAACAAGCUUUCCGCACAAAAGGAGGAGGAAGAUGGAAGGAUGGAGGAGAUUCGAACCUUGUUGAUCAACCAUUCUUCCGCUUCAUCAUCCUCAAGGCGAUGGCUAGAAAGUCGAUCAUCUUCAGAGCGCCCAUGCGAUGCAAGCUCAAAUCGUCCACGUCCACAUCUCCAUGGUAACCAUCAUCACAUUCAUGAUCCACAUCGUCAUGAAGGGAAAGUCACCUCCAAGCAACAUGUGCACGACGACGAUGAACGACAUCUACUACGAGCUCAAGUACGACAACGACACCAUCAACAUGAAGAUGCUCGAGAUGCGCCUACCUACAAGUCCCAACAAGCUCUACAUCAAGCUACGAUCAAACUUCAUGAGUACAAGAGAAGACCGCAAGACAAGCACCACCAAGAGGACGCUACGGCUACUACCACCACCACUUCGGCAUCUUCGCCAAGUGCUAUCAAGGCAUCUUUGCCUUUGGACGUACGACAUCUUUGCCUACUUCCCAUGAGUUUGCCUACAUUGACAUCUUCAACAACAAGGCGACCACCUCAAGCGAGGGUGACACUUCCAUCUUCGGAAGCCCCUCAAGGAAGAUGGCCGAGCAUGGGAAUUUCCCUUCGGUCAUGGAGACGAGCUACGAGGUGCCACAUCAUAUGGGCCUCCAACAACAAGACGACGACAAGACGGUUGAGCAAGGGCCAUCCCCUUCGACCAUGGCGGCGAGUAUGA